rnacentral:lncRNA from 1 species
UGGACCUAUUUGAUCAGUAAAAUGUAUGUUUUGUUUGUGUACAAUGUGGGAAUGCAUGUAUGGAUUGAACUGGUUGUUUUCUUAGUUUUAAAGAUUUGUAGGACAUGUAACUUAUUGCUAAAUGUGCAGACAAGUAGUUUCCUAAUAAACAUGAGGAUUUACAACACAAUCAAUCAAUUGAACAUUAUUACGUGAGACUAUGUAGCUCGUAAAAACGUACAUGUGUAUGAGUGUAUAGUAGGUGUACAUGUGGCUGGGGUCAGUGGCCAGAGAUAUUUU